rnacentral:rRNA from 1 species
UACGGGGGGGGCAAGCGUUGUUCGGAAUUACUGGGCGUAAAGGGCUCGUAGGUGGCCAACUAAGUCAGACGUGAAAUCCCCAGGCUCAACUUGGGAACUGCGUCUGAUACUGGAUGGCUUGAAUUCGGGAGAGGGAUGCAGAAUUCCAGGUGUAGCGGUGAAAUGCGUAGAUAUCUGGAGGAAUACCGGUGGCGAAGGCGGCAUCCUGGACCGAUAUUGACACUGAUGAGCGAAAGCUAGGGGAGCAAAUGGG